AACAAGUAAUUUAGGUCUUCAAGAAUUCCUUUCGCGGAUUGAAAACCUUGAAUCUCUGAGCAAGACAUUUUCUGUUGAGUAUCAAAACCUUACCGCUAUGGUCAUGUCAGUGCGAGAGACUGCUAAGGCAACAACGGAACAUUUAGAAAUUCUUUCCAGUCGCGUGUCGGAUCUUGCUGUUUCCAAGUCUGCAUUGUAUGAACGCAAUAAUACGGAAGACGUAGGUAUACAAAAUCUACGAAACCUUUUAUUA